rnacentral:rRNA from 1 species
CCAAUAGCGUAUAUUAAAGUUGUUGCAGUUAAAAAGCUCGUAGUUGAAUUUCGGGAUCAAUUUAUUGGUCGUGCCAACGGUACGCACUGGUACAAUUGGUUUCUCCCUUCUGACGAAGCAUGAUGUCAUUAACUUGGUGUCGUGGGGAAUCAGGACUGUUACUUUGAAAAAAUUAGAGUGUUUAAAGCAGGCUUUGGCUUGAAUACAUUAGCAUGGAAUAAUGAAAUAGGACGUUUGAUCUUAUUUCGUUGGUUUCUAAGAUCGACGUAAUGAUUAAUAGGGAUAGUUGGGGGCAUUAGUAUUCAAUUGUCAGAGGUGAAAUUCUUGGAUUUAUUGAAGACUAACUACUGCGAAAGCAUUUGCCAAGGAUGUUUUCAUUAAUCAAGAACGAAAGUUAGGGGAUCGAAGACGAUCAGAUACCGUCGUAGUCUUAACCAUAAACUAUGCCGACUAGGGAUCGGAUGAUGUUAAUUUUUUAAUAACUCAUUCGGCGCCUUACG